rnacentral:rRNA from 1 species
GACGAACGCUGGCGGCGUGCUUAACACAUGCAAGUCGAACGGAAAGGCCCUGCUUUUGUGGGGUGCUCGAGUGGCGAACGGGUGAGUAACACGUGAGUAACCUGCCCUUGACUUUGGGAUAACUUCAGGAAACUGGGGCUAAUACCGGAUAGGAGCUCCUGCUGCAUGGUGGGGGUUGGAAAGUUUCGGCGGUUGGGGAUGGACUCGCGGCUUAUCAGCUUGUUGGUGGGGUAGUGGCUUACCAAGGCUUUGACGGGUAGCCGGCCUGAGAGGGUGACCGGCCACAUUGGGACUGAGAUACGGCCCAGACUCCUACGGGAGGCAGCAGUGGGGAAUAUUGCACAAUGGGCGGAAGCCUGAUGCAGCAACGCCGCGCGCGGGAUGACGGCCUUCGGGUUGUAAACCGCUUUCGCCUGUGACGAAGCGUGAGUGACGGUAAUGGGUAAAGAAGCACCGGCUAACUACGUGCCAGCAGCCGCGGUGAUACGUAGGGUGCGAGCGUUGUCCGGAUUUAUUGGGCGUAAAGGGCUCGUAGGUGGUUGAUCGCGUCGGAAGUGUAAUCUUGGGGCUUAACCCUGAGCGUGCUUUCGAUACGGGUUGACUUGAGGAAGGUAGGGGAGAAUGGAAUUCCUGGUGGAGCGGUGGAAUGCGCAGAUAUCAGGAGGAACACCAGUGGCGAAGGCGGUUCUCUGGGCCUUUCCUGACGCUGAGGAGCGAAAGCGUGGGGAGCGAACAGGCUUAGAUACCCUGGUAGUCCACGCUGUAAACGGUGGGUACUAGGUGUGGGGUCCAUUCCACGGGUUCCGUGCCGUAGCUAACGCUUUAAGUACCCCGCCUGGGGAGUACGGCCGCAAGGCUAAAACUCAAAGGAAUUGACGGGGCCCCGCACAAGCGGCGGAGCAUGCGGAUUAAUUCGAUGCAACGCGUAGAACCUUACCUGGGUUUGACAUGGAUCGGGAGUGCUCAGAGAUGGGUGUGCCUCUUUUGGGGUCGGUUCACAGGUGGUGCAUGGCUGUCGUCAGCUCGUGUCGUGAGAUGUUGGGUUAAGUCCCGCAACGAGCGCAACCCUUGUUCACUGUUGCCAGCACGUUAUGGUGGGGACUCAGUGGAGACCGCCGGGGUCAACUCGGAGGAAGGUGGGGAUGACGUCAAGCCAUCAUGCCCCUUAUGUCCAGGGCUUCACGCAUGCUACAAUGGCUGGUACAGAGAGUGGCGAGCCUGUGAGGGUGAGCGAAUCUCGGAAAGCCGGUCUCAGUUCGGAUUGGGGUCUGCAACUCGACCUCAUGAAGUCGGAGUCGCUAGUAAUCGCAGAUCAGCAACGCUGCGGUGAAUACGUUCCCGGGGCU